GCGGGAGUAAUUCAGUGGUAGAAUGCUUCCUUGCCAAGGAAGAUGUCGCGAGUUCGAUCCUCGUCUCCCGCUCCA
rnacentral:tRNA from 2 species